UACGUAGGGGGCAAGCGUUGUCCGGAAUCAUUGGGCGUAAAGCGCGUGUAGGCGGCCUGAAAAGUCUGAUGUGAAAUCUCGGGGCUCAACCCCGAGCGGUCAUUGGAUACUGUCAGGCUUGAGUCCGGAAGAGGAGUGUGGGAAUUCCUGGUGUAGCGGUGGAAUGCGCAGAUAUCAGGAGGAACACCAAUGGCGAAGGCAGCACUCUGGUACGUGACUGACGCUGAGACGCGAAAGCGUGGGGAGCAAACGGG
rnacentral:rRNA from 1 species